UUCGCAGGGUUUUACAUGAUCAGCUCUGCUCUCUCCUUCUGUGAAGAAGUAACGGUCUAUGGGUUCUGGCCAUUCCGUACGGACAGAGGCGGGAGAGAAGUCAGGUAUCACUACUCGCAUAGUGAACAGCAUGAUGGGGGAAUGGAGAACGAGUGGCAUCGUAUGGACCGGGAGUUCGUCAAACUGGUGGAACUGUACAAGGAUGGGGUCAUCAGACUGGUCACGCAGCCCUGUAAUCAGACGCAGGAUAGUUAGCAGUGUUUUUCUUUAGUUUCGGACUGGUAGAAAAUGGACCUAAAGAGUAGCAAUCAUCCAUUGUCACACUGAACACAGACGGCGGAGUAAACAACACGUGGCAUCGCAUGGACCGGGAGUUCGUCAAACUGGUGGAGCUGUACAAGGAUCGAGUUAUCAAGCUGGUCACGCAGCCAUGUAACCAGACGCAGGAGAGUUAGGACCGGGAGUUCGUCAAACUGGUGGAGCUGUACAAGGAUAGAGUCAUCAAACUGGUCACGCAGCCAUGCAACCAGACUCGGGAGAGUUAGCAGUGUUUGUUUAGUUCUGGACUGUUAGUUUCUCGGAUGGACCGGGAGUUCGUCAAGCUGGUGGAGCUGUACAAGGAUGGAGUCAUCAAGCUGGUCACGCAGCCAUGUAACCAGACUCGUGAGAGUUAAGACCGGGAGUUCGUCAAGCUGGUGGAGCUGUACAAGGAUGGAGUCAUCAAGCUGGUCACGCAGCCAUGUAACCAGACUCGUGAGAGUUAAGACCGGGAGUUCGUCAAGCUGGUGGAGCUGUACAAGGAUGGAGUCAUCAAGCUGGUCACGCAGCCAUGUAACCAGACUCUGGAUAGCUAGCAGUGUUUUUCUUUAGUUUCGGACUGGUAGAAAAUGGACCUAAAGAGUAGCAAUCAUCCAUUGUCACACUGAACACAGACGGCGGAGUAAACAACACGUGGCAUCGCAUGGACCGGGAGUUCGUCAAACUGGUGGAGCUGUACAAGGAUGGGGUCAUCAAACUGGUCACGCAGCCUUGUAACCAGACUCGGGAGAGUUAGCAAUGUUUGUUUUAGUUCUGGACCGGGAGAAAAUAGACUCAUUCACGUAUAUAGUAGCGACCGUCCAUCGACCCAAGGCAUUACAUCUCAACAGCUUCCUGGAACAAUUUGUGACAAAUAAAUCUGAAAAAAAAAUGUUA